rnacentral:rRNA from 1 species
AUUGAACGCUGGCGGAAUGCUUUACACAUGCGAGUCGAACGGCAGCACGGACUUCGGUCUGGUGGCGAGUGGCGAACGGGUGAGUAAUGUAUCGGAACGCGCCCAGUCGUGGGGGAUAACGUAGUGAAAAUUACGCUAAUACCGCAUACGAUCUAUGGAUGAAAGCGGGGGAUCGCAAGACCUCGCGCGAUUGGAGCGGCCGAUAUCAGAUUAGGUAGUUGGUGGGGUAAAGGCCCACCAAGCCAACGAUCUGUAGCUGGUCUGAGAGGACGACCAGCCAAACUGGAACUGAGACACGGUCCAGACUCCUACGGGAGGCAGCAGUGGGGAAUUUUGGACAAUGGGCGAAAGCCUGAUCCAGCCAUUCCGCGUGCAGGAUGAAGGCCCUCGGGUUGUAAACUGCUUUUGUACAGAACGAAAAGGUUUCUACUAAUACUAGGAGCUCAUGACGGUACUGUAAGAAUAAGCACCGGCUAACUACGUGCCAGCAGCCGCAGUAA